rnacentral:rRNA from 1 species
CAAUCUGCCUUUAAGUUUGGGACAACCUCGGGAAACUGGGGCUAAUACCAAAUAAGACUACAGAGCCUUCGGGCUUGGCAGUAAAAGAUGGCCUCUAUUUAUAUGCUGUCGCUUAGAGAUGAGUCCGCGUCCUAUUAACUUGUUGGUGAGGUAACGGCUCACCAAGGCGACGAUAGGUAGCUGGUCUGAGAGGAUGAUCAGCCACACUGGAACUGAGACACGGUCCAG